rnacentral:rRNA from 1 species
ACGGGAGGCAGCAGUGGGGGAUAUUGGUCAAUGGGGGGAAACCCUGAACCAGCGACGCCGCGUGAGUGAAGAAGUAUUUCGGUAUGUAAAGCUCUAUCAGCAGGGAAGAUAAUGACGGUACCUGACUAAGAAGCACCGGCUAAAUACGUGCCAGCAGCCGCGGUAAUACGUAUGGUGCAAGCGUUAUCCGGAUUUACUGGGUGUAAAGGGAGCGUAGACGGCAAAGCAAGUCUGAAGUGAAAGCCCCGGGCUCAACCCGGGAACUGCUUUGGAAACUGUUUAGCUAGAGUGCAGGAGAGGUAAGUGGAAUUCCUAGUGUAGCGGUGAAAUGCGUAGAUAUUAGGAGGAACACCAGUGGCGAAGGCGGCUUACUGGACUGUAACUGACGUUGAGGCUUGAAAGCGUGGGGAGCAAACAGGAUUAGAUACCCUGGUA